UUUAAAUAUUUUAAUGUAAAAUUGUCAACAUAUUAACAAAACAAGGGAUAAUAUUUGGAUGGCUUAAAGUGUGUAUAUAUAUAUAGGCUAUAAUCUUUGUUUGGUUCGGGUACAAGUAAGAAUUAGUUUAUACCAGGUAAAGAUGUUCAUGGACCGGGUCGGAUCUGGGUAGUUGAUAUACUGUACCCGUACCCUAAAAAAGAAUGAUUAGAAAAAAAAACUAUACCCUACCCAUUUAAUUUGGGGUCGGGUCCGGAUCUGAAUAUUUAAGUUACUAAUAUAUCCAUCGAAUCUAUUUGAACGGGUCUGGAUAGUGACUAUCCGUAUACUACCCGUUAAAGACCGGGUAUGGAUCGGGUCUAAAUCGGGUACGGGUAUCCGUAUACCUAUAUAUUUUUAUAGAAUUUAUUAAAUUAUCUGGACAAGAAUUGUUU
rnacentral:lncRNA from 1 species